rnacentral:rRNA from 1 species
GAUGAACGCUGGCGGCGUGCUUAACACAUGCAAGUCGAACGAAGCACUUUAUUUGAUUUCCUUCGGGACUGAUUAUUUUGUGACUGAGUGGCGGACGGGUGAGUAACGCGUGGGUAACCUGCCUUGUACAGGGGGAUAACAGUUGGAAACGGCUGCUAAUACCGCAUAAGCGCACGGCAUCGCAUGAUGCAGUGUGAAAAACUCCGGUGGUAUAAGAUGGACCCGCGUUGGAUUAGCUAGUUGGUGAGGUAACGGCCCACCAAGGCGACGAUCCAUAGCCGACCUGAGAGGGUGACCGGCCACAUUGGGACUGGGACACGGCCCAAACUCCUACGGGAGGCAGCAGUGGGGAAUAUUGCACAAUGGGCGAAAGCCUGAUGCAGCGACGCCGCGUGAGCGAAGAAGUAUUUCGGUAUGUAAAGCUCUAUCAGCAGGGAAGAUA